UGCUCGUGCCUCUACUUAUACCUCUGCUCGUAUUUAUUGCAACUCGUGCCUCUUUUGCUAAUCAUCACUCUUUGACCAGCCUCCGUGUCAUGACACAUCAUCUUCCAAUCACUUCACUAUGUAAACUCAAUUUUCCCAAUACAGUUUCUUAUGUGUAGAAAGACAAAUUUUUCCUCGUCCUGGCUUUAUCCCUGUCUUAGUCUCAGCCAUCUAGGUAUGAAAAUAAAUUAAGUACAAAUAACUUCACUAAACUAGAAGAAUAAUUACAUAAUAAAUUUAUUUAAUCAGUAAAAUAAAAUAAAUGAGGUAACAAUGAUGUAUAGACUCACGUCCACUAAACUGACUUUUGCAAGUUCUAAAUGCGUAGUCUUAGAUAUUAUCUACAAUCAAGUAACGAAAUAAUAAGGAAUAGAAUAUAAAAUAUAACAGAAUGUAAAGUAAAGCACGAUAUUCACAGACCAAUUUCCAAUGUCUACAUAAGUGAAAUACAUCAAGAAGGUCAUAUUGAUUAGGAUCUCUUUAGCUAAUGUUGCAUCAAAGCCUAAAGCAUUUGAAGUAUCUUCAAAUAGAAAUCCUAUUGUCAUAACUAUAACUCACUAUAAUUCUUCCCUCUAUCUAGAAUUCAUCUGAAAUGACUUUGUGAUGAAAAAAAAAUUCCAUUGAAUCAAGUUUGCGAAAUGCUUACUAAGAAUCAUAUUUUCAUAACUUCUAUUCUUUAGAUGAUGAGAAAAGGAUUCCAAAUAAUCAAGUUAGCAAACUGCUUACAAAGUUCUCUAAAAGAAUAUUUCUAUUUGCAAAUGCCCAUUUUUCUCUUGCAGUAGCAACUAGUAAUUUGUUGAGAGCCAUAGUAACCAUUUAUUUUAGAUUGUUAAACAGUUAAUCUAAUUUUUUCAUUCUUAAAUAACAAAGUUCUAAUUUUCAUGUUUAAAGAUAAACACCCAAAGCUAGAUAUUUCUUGUUCUCUUGAUUCUAAUUCGCUUCACUUUCAUCAGAAAAACAUUUCUUAGUUAAAGCUGCUAAACUCAAUCAAAUGUGAGAAAUAAGCAGGCCAUGAACAACAACUACAACUCAAUCUAAAUUAAAAUAAGAUUAGAUCUCUACAAUUCAAAAAAAUAACUUUUCAAUCAUCUAAUGGAGACUCUGGAGAAGAGGAAAAAAUAGAAAUAAUACUAACUAGACAACUAGCGCAAAAGAGGAUCUAAUAAAUUACUAGAGUAGCAAACAAACGUUGAUGGAGGCUGAAGUUCCUAAUGAGAAUACAUGCAUUCAGUCAUUAGCCAUAUGUGGAAAAGAAAGAAAAUAGGCAUAGAGAGAGCUAGAUAUUAAUAAAUUGGGAAAAAGUAUAAAAAAAGGCCUUUCUUCCGAACAUUCAAGCACCAUAGCACAAAGAAACAAUAAGUUGCAAUUCUAUACGUAUCCUCAAACCAGAAUAUUAGUUGAAUAAACUCUGUAAAAUCGAAGAGCAUAAACAUCUAAAAAAUUUACAAAGCCAAACUAGAACUUAAAUUCUCUCACCAAAUAAGAAAUCAAAACGCGAAAAAGAAAUCAUAUGAAACUUACCGAUUUACCAGAUCCAAUUUACAAAACUGGAUGAAUCCUAAAAGUGGAGGGGGGGAAGAGGUGUUAA
rnacentral:lncRNA from 1 species